CUCUUCCCUUCUCUUCGCUUUCUCUCUGAUCCACCGCCGCCGCCGCGCCUCCCCCUCUAAUCCACCGCCGCCCAUAGCCGCCGUCGCGCGGCCCCCCACUCCACCUCCGUCGUCGCGCCGCCCCACUCCACCGCAUCGCACCUUUCUCUCUCUUCCCUUCACUCUGAUUGUACUAUCCCACCGCCGCUGCCCAUAGCCACCGUCGCGCCGCCUCACUCCACCGCCGCCGUCGCGCCUCCCCCUCUAAUCCACCGCCGCCGUUAAAAUCAGGGCAGUGAUAUUCAUGCAGGAAAAGGAAAACAGAAGACAAUAACAAUAAUUGUGAUCGUUGUUCCAAUUGUUGUUUCACUGGUGCUUUUAGCUUUGGGCUGCUGCUUUUUAUAUAGAAAAGAAAGAAAGAAUCAACAUGAUAUUCUCAAAGAAAGCUGUAAUGCGGAAAAAGUUGCACUUUUUUUUUGCAACCUCAAUGAAGCAUUUCCUUUGGCCAAAUAACUUAAAAGAAUUCAAGAAGUUAAUAUGGUCUUGCAAUUUGAAUUAGCCAAAAUUGAAGCUGCAACUAACAGAUUUGCUAAAGAAAACUGGAUAGGCAAAGGCAGAUUUGGAGAAGUCUAUACGGGUAUUCUUCCAGAUGGACAAGAAAUAGCUGUGAAGAGGCUUACAGGAAGGUCCGGGCAAGGUGCAGUAGAGUUAAAAAAUGAGGUUCAAGUUAUAGCCCAGCUUCAAACAAAAAUCUAGUGAGGUUACUAGGAUUUAACUAGUACCAGCUCUUUUGCUGACUAUAGGAGGGAUAUUUCUUCCUGAUACUGAUCAAGAUAUUGAAGGGAUGGAAAACUUAAAGUCAAAAAUCAAGCCAUGGAGUUCUCUGUGGACCGUGAUUGGUGUGUAGUAGUUAAAAUACUACUGAACCUCCUGCUUGAUGGAACUUUUUGUUGUACAAGGCAAAGGAACUGAUCAUAUUGUUGUAUUUUUUUGUAUUUUAUAAUUGUUGUUUAUAAGAAGCUAUUCUUGUAUAUUUUUAGGCACAUUUUUGUCCUAAAAACCAAGGUUUAUCUAAUUCGGUUGAAAAGGAUGCUGAUAUAA